AGAGUUUGAUCAUGGCUCAGGAUGAACGCUAGCUACAGGCUUAACACAUGCAAGUCGAGGGGAAACGACAUCGAAAGCUUGCUUUUGAUGGGCGUCGACCGGCGCACGGGUGAGUAACGCGUAUCCAACCUGCCCACCACUUGGGGAUAACCUUGCGAAAGUAAAGACUAAUACCCAAUGACGUCUCUAGAAGACAUCUGAAAGAGAUUAAAGAUUUAUCGGUGAUGGAUGGGGAUGCGUCUGAUUAGCUUGUUGGCGGGGUAACGGCCACCAAGGCGACGAUCAGUAGGGGUUCUGAGAGGAAGGUCCCCCACAUUGGAACUGGGACACGGUCCAAACUCCGUACGGAGGCA
rnacentral:rRNA from 1 species